GCACAGCCCCCCCCCAACUCACCCUCCCCCCCGUGUCUCCUUCUCUCCUUCAGACCCAGCAUCUGCUCCACGAUUAUUCGGUCUCGAUGCCGUCGAACCUGGAACCGGACGGCUGGUGCGCGGAGCUGUGGAGGGUCCAUUUCCUGGCGGUGGAGCUGGGGCACAUGUGGGGGGUCGCGGGCACGGCCCUGCGGCCCCUCGUGGCGAAGGUGGCCCAGCAGGUCGGGUUCGUCGAGGAGUGCGGCAUCACCGACCCCACGGGCUGCGUGGGGCAGGAACGCAGCAACGUGUCGCGGAUGCUGAGGGCCCUGAACGGCCACAUGGCGGCGCUGAAGAGCAAAAUGGCGGGGCAGGACCCGGUCGACUUCAGCAACUGCACCCCCGUCCGCUGCCAGCCAGAAGCCCUGGCCCGGCUGCCUGCGCCGGACGGGCUCCCGCAGCCCGGCUUCUCCAGCCGGAAGCAGCCGGGGACCCAGGCGUCCGGGGCCGGCUCCCUGCACCAGAACCACCUGCCGGUGCUGCUCCUCCUGGUGCCCAUCCUGGGGUCUCUGGCCUUCGUCAGCCUGUGGCAGCGUCAGAGGCGGCUCCGCGGCCAGCUGCUUCUUCCCUCUCUCCCCCCAGGGGACCCAGGAAUCCGAGCGGUCGGACACCUGAACGAGCCGGGUGCAGGAGCUGAUAGGAAAGAGAUGGCUCAGGACCCCCGGAGCCACGGUUGGUCCCGCCGUUACGGAUUCUGGGACGUGGGCGGCCGGGGCCGCCGGAGCCGGACUCUGCUUCCUACACCCCACUCCUGCGAGCCAAGCGGAGGGUGGAAUCGGCCACGCCUCCCGGCGGACUGCAGAGCUGAGGCCUGCGGCCGGCCCCCCAUGGGCCCCGGUGCCCUCCCCCGCCCCCAGGAGGCGCUGUGCAGCGCCGGCUCGCAUCCGGCCCCACAGCCCCCGCUGUCUGGACUUCAUUUCUGCAGCGCUGGGGAAGCCGGCAAUGGAUUUUUCUUCUAUAC